UCCUAGCCCGGGUUGAAACGGAAAGCUUUUUUGUUUGAAACAAUUUAGUUUUACCGGUUUAGUAAAGCGACCUUGGGAGCUAUUGCAAAACCGUGCAAAACUUUUGUUUUAAGCAAAAAACUUGCAGUGGAAGACCGGAAUGGCU
rnacentral:sRNA from 1 species